UCCUGUCGGAACAAAUGAUAAGAUGGUCAGAAAUGAGAGGCACAAAGACAUGAUGGCCACUCAGCAGCAUCAUUAUCACCAAAGAAAUGGAAACAAAUUGUAACAUUCAUUUAUCCAUUGUGACACAUUUUAUCUAAUCUAGUUUCACUGCUGCAUUUCCUGUCUUGGAUAAAUGAGCCUUCAACAGAAAUUAAGGCCCAGAACGACAGGGAGCGUGAGGUAAACCAGCUCUUCCUUCAAGCCUUCAAUCUUCAUCUCCAGCUCAGACCGGGCCAGGGUCAGCUCAUCCAGGACCUUGCGUAAUCCAGCAAUGUCAGUCUCCACUGACAUGCGCAUGGCCAUUUCAUUUUCAAACCUGUGUGGCGGAGAUGGAAGGGCAUCAGAGAGUUACACACCCACUGUGACAACAUGUCCAAUCCACCUGAGCUGACGGAUGCAGCAGGUGAUGGUGUCUCGUGGCCCACACAUGGAGCACAGAGUUGUUGGUGACAUGACAUUUGAACUCACUUUAUUCUGAAGUCUUCUGCUGCCAGUCUGGCGUUGUCAAUCUGUAACAUCAUCCUGGCAUUGUCCAGCGUGGCAGCACUUAUCUGUAAAGACCAUACAAGCAACGUAUUCACUCACUAACACCAUUUCAUUGGUCAAUAAGGCAAAAGUGCUGCAGCCACUGGUGUUUAUCGUCCACUAACUGUGCGUUAUUACUCAUCAUUAAUUAUCUGUUAUGACCUGAGACCACUUGUACCGGCUGUCCUUCAUUGUGUUCAACCAUAAAUCAUUUUGACCCUUGUUCCACAUCAGGUCACUAUGGUGACGACAAAACCAGCCAAUGAAAAAGUUAAAUGGUCUGACGGACCAAAACAUUCUGUAUAACGAAAUGUAUUUUUAACUGUGGUUAUGAGAACUAACAUUUAUAGCAGGAACAAGAGGGAAAAAGGUUAAAUAAUAAUAAUAAUAAUAACUACAAAUUAGCUGGCUAGCUAGUCUGAUUUCUUAAUCAUUUAAAAAAUAAUAAAAGUAUAGCAAAGAAUGGUACAUAUUUAUAAAGAGUAAAAAAAUAAAAUUGAAAAAUAACAUUUAGCCUAAAUGAUGGCCAAGGGGUAUUACAUAUGUAUAUGUAUUGGUAGACUCUAUCAUCUGCCUGAGAUACUAAUGUGUCAUAUAUAUUUGUCCUUCUAUGAUUCAAUAGUUACAGGUUUCACAGCCAAGAACAAGCCGGUUCCUUAAGAUGAUUUUGAAUCCAACUGUUGUUUCUGUGCUACCAGCUAGGAGGAGCCAUUUUGUGCAACUGUGGGAUGAUGAGAACCUUAAGAGUCUCCACUAGGUCUGGCUCCUUCUGGAGGCUUCUUUGUUCACUCAUCUGUCGUAGAACAUUCUAUACUCUAACAUCCUGAACACAACGAAGGCCUUUCUACUCCUUACCAUAUACAGUACUUCAUUUCUAAUGAUGGUGGGAUGAAAAUGGUGUUUAAAAAAAAACAUCAACUGUCGGAAGCAAAUGUAGAUUGUGCUGUUUAGUUAAACUUGUAAAUCAGGUGUUUGACGAGGAGCCUGUUCCUGUUGCAUUGCAUUUGUAACAAUAUUUUGAGCUUAUAUACAUACACAAACAUAUAACCAAUUUUUGGACCCUUUUUUUUUUCUUCAGACAGAGGUCAUUGAGCUAGAAUAAAACUACUCGUGUUCUAAAAAAGGUUUCACUUCAUCUGUAUAUUCACAGUUCACUUUCUGCUCUUGCAGAAAUGCCAUGAUUCCACGAAAACAACUAGAAUAUUCAUCAAUCAUUUACUGUCAUCUGCAAGUCAAACAGCAGAAUAAAAACGAAUAAGCAUAAAAUAGGUUUAUGACUUGUUUAAAUGUCUUUAGUAUUCAUGUAUUGUUUUGCAUUCUUGCUCUGAGAAGACACACAGAACAUUAACCUCUGACCUCUGGUACGUUUUAGCCUAACUUCUGUACUGGUACUGUUCUCUGCCUCCUUCACGCCUCUAUAUUAAUGUUUGUUUGUUGACAUAACAUGACGUCAAGACACUUGUUUUGAGGCUAUGAGCACAUCCGUCAGUGUUGGCUUUUUUAAUAUAUUGAAAUGUUGUUAACUCUGCAGCCAUUCUCUAUGUAAGACUAAAAUGUAAAUAUACACUCAGAUAAAAUAUAAGAACAGUGGAUAUCAAACCUUUUCUUAUUCAGUUGAUGAAAAUGUUUUUAUUAGCCAAGUACUAACUCUAGCUAGCAAGAAAUUUGAUGGAUAAAGAAGUGGUAGAACCACAGCGCUGUUACAUCAGUAUCUGAGUUAUUUAUUAUUAUUUAUGUUAAUGAUUAUUUGUAGUGGAGUUCUGUGAUCUGCAUUGUAGGUCAAUAAAAAUGUUCUAUAUAUAUAUUUAUAUAUACUAAAUAAUUUUACAGGACUACGCAUUCAUUUAUAAGUUCGAAUUGUUGCUAUAUUUUAUAUAUUUUUCCUGGCCCAGGUUUGAUCUCCAAAAGAAUUACUUGAC